GUCUACGGCCAUGCCACCCUGAACGCACCCAGGCUCGUCUGAUCUCAGAAGCUAAGCAGGGUCGGGCCUGGUUAGCACGUGGAUGGGAGGGAAGGCAUUUCUGUCAACA
rfam:Ailuropoda melanoleuca scaffold2557_91, whole genome shotgun sequence.